rnacentral:rRNA from 1 species
CCUACGGGUGACAGCAGUGAGGAAUAUUGGUCAAUGGGCGCGAGCCUGAACCAGCCACGUAGCGUGAAGGAUGACUGCCCUACGGGUUGUAAACUUCUUUUAUAAAGGAAUAAAGUGAGGCACGUGUGCCUUUUUGUAUGUACUUUAUGAAUAAGGAUCGGCUAACUCCGUGCCAGCAGCCGCGGUAAUACGGAGGGUCCGAGCGUUAUCCGGAUUUAUUGGGUUUAAAGGGAGCGUAGAUGGGUUGUUAAGUCAGUUGUGAAAGUUUGCGGCUCAACCGUAAAAGUGCAAUUGAUACUGGCAGACUUGAGUACAGGAGAGGUAGGCGGAAUGCGGGGUGUAGCGGUGAAAUGCAUAGAUAUCACGAAGAACUCCGAGUGCGAAGGCAGCUUACUAAACUGCCACUGACAUUGAUGCUCGAAAGUGUGGGUAUCAAACAGGAUUAGAUACCCGGGUAGUC